ACUUGAUAUCACACUAUACCACGCCAUAUCAACACCAUACAAUACCACACCACACCAUAGAACAUCAUAAAAUACUACACUACGCCAUGCGAUGCUAUACCAUACCACACCAUACAAAACCGUACCAACCGUACCAUACCAUACCAUACCAUACCAUACCAUACCAUACACCAUGCCAUAUACCAUACCAUAUACCAUAACAUAUCAUAUGUACCAUAUAUCAUAACAUACCAUGCCAUACCAUAUACCGGUACCAUAUCAUAUACCGGUACCAUGCCACUUGAUAUCACACUAUACCACGCCAUAUCAACACCAUACAAUACCACACCACACCAUAGAACAUCAUAAAAUACUACACUACGCCAUGCGAUGCUAUACCAUACCACACCAUACAAAACCGUACCAUACCAUACCAUACCAUACCA